UAUUGCGCAUAUGUCUGUUGAAUUAUAGUAAUAUAAUUUCGAGUAGUUUCAGGUAAGGUUCUUACAUUGAAACAAUGGUGUGUAUUAGAAUAUGUUUAUUCGGAAACUGUUAUUAUAAUAUUAUACACGUUUUUAGAUUAUCAUUUGUAGCGUACCUAACUAAAGUUUAAUAAAGUUAUAAUAUGUCGAUUUGAGUAAAGGGUACUAAGUAGAUUUGAAUAAUUGAUAUAAAACCUAUAGGAAAUUCUUUUUAACGCGCAAUGAAAAAACAACAACUGAAAUGAAACUAAUACGCCACCUAAGUAAAUAAUAAUUAGUGUUCAAAUGAUAUACGCCGCAGACGCCAUAUGCAAUUUAAACACACGACGCAUAAUCGAUACCUAUUUAACUACGUGGCAUAGAAAAAUAAGUUUUCAACAAAACAAUUUUGUUUUUAUGAUUUAAUUCAAAAUUCACGAAUGACCCUUAAGUAUUAGCUUAUAUAUACGUCAUAUUGAAUACAAUAUUAAUUCUAUAUAGACCCCUUUUGAAAUUUAACUUAAAUCGCUUAGAUUUUAUAUCCAUUACCCGUUGAACAAUGAUCGAAAUUGCAUAGUCAAAAUAUUUAUUUCCAAUCGCUCGUUAUUAGAGAAGAUUAUCGAUUUUAUACGAAAAAUGCGAAAUAUUCUCAAUUUUUUUUUUUACAGUCAAAAAUCAUUGCUUGUUUAAGGUCCAUACUUAAGAUUCGAAAAUAAAGUACAAAGUUUAUCGCAAGAUUUUUUAACUGGAAUAAAAAAAAAAUAUAUAUAUAUAUUGCCCUAGCUGAAUCUAUUCAGUGACGAUUCUGGCAGUAAAUUAUUCUGAAGGCGACAAUUUUGUACCAGCUACUAAACAUGUUAGCGCAUAUCCCCCAGUUCUCAAAACUCAUUUAUUUUGUUACAAUAUGUUUUAUUUUAACAACUUUUCUCGAACCAUAUUUGUUGUAGACCUACCUAAUUUUCGCGAUACGUAAAGAUUAAACAAGAACAUUAACUGUGCAAGAGCGUGCAACUUUUUUUGAUAUUACUAUCCAAUCAUUUUUUUUUAAGCAAAUGAAAAAAAAAAAA